GGUUAAGUUAAUAAGGGCGCACGGUGGAUGCCUUGGCACUAGAAGCCGAUGAAGGACGUGACUAACGACGAAAUGCUUUGGGGAGCUGUAAGUGAGCAAUGAUCCAGAGAUGUCCGAAUGGGGGAACCCGGCAGGUAAUGCCUGUCACUCAUUACUGUUAAGGUAAUGUAGAGGAAGACGCAGUGAACUGAAACAUCUAAGUAGCUGCAGGAAGAGAAAGCAAAAGCGAUUGCCUUAGUAGCGGCGAGCGAAACGGCAAGAGGGCAAACCGAAGAGUUUACUCUUCGGGGUUGUAGGACUGCAACGUGGACUUAAAGAUUAUAGAAGAACUACCUGGGAAGGUAGGCCAAAGAGAGUAAUAGCCUCGUAUUCGAAAUAGUCUUUAUACCUAGCAGUAUCCUGAGUACGGCGAGACACGAGAAAUCUCGUCGGAAUCUGGGAGGACCAUCUCCCAACCCUAAAUACUCUCUAGUGACCGAUAGUGAACCAGUACCGUGAGGGAAAGGUGAAAAGCACCCCGGGAGGGGAGUGAAAUAGAACCUGAAACCGUGUGCCUACAACAAGUUCGAGCCCGUUAAUGGGUGAGAGCGUGCCUUUUGUAGAAUGAACCGGCGAGUUACGAUAUGAUGCGAGGUUAAGUUGAAGAGACGGAGCCGUAGGGAAACCGAGUCUUAAUAGGGCGCAUUAGUAUCAUGUCGUAGACCCGAAACCAUGUGACCUACCCAUGAGCAGGUUGAAGGUGAGGUAAAACUCACUGGAGGACCGAACCAGGGCACGUUGAAAAGUGCUUGGAUGACUUGUGGGUAGCGGAGAAAUUCCAAACGAACUUGGAGAUAGCUGGUUCUCUCCGAAAUAGCUUUAGGGCUAGCGUCGAUGUUAAGUCUCUUGGAGGUAGAGCACUGUUUGGGUGAGGGGUCCAUCCCGGAUUACCAAUCUCAGAUAAACUCCGAAUGCCAAUGAGAUAUAAUCGGCAGUCAGACUGCGAGUGCUAAGAUCCGUAGUCGAAAGGGAAACAGCCCAGACCACCAGCUAAGGUCCCAAAAUAUAUGUUAAGUGGAAAAGGAUGUGGGGUUGCACAGACAACUAGGGAUACCUUUAUAGGUAUGGUAGGAGAGCGUUCUAUGUGCGAAGAAGGUGUACCGUGAGGAGUGCUGGAGCGCAUAGAAGUGAGAAUGCCGGUAUGAGUAGCGAAAGACAGGUGAGAAUCCUGUCCACCGUAAGACUAAGGUUUCCAGGGGAAGGCUCGUCCGCCCUGGGUUAGUCGGGACCUAAGGAGAGACCGAAAGGUGUAUCCGAUGGACAACAGGUUGAUAUUCCUGUACUAGAGUAUAUAGUGAUGGAGGGACGCAGUAGGCUAACUAAACCAGACGAUUGGAAGUGUCUGGCCAAGCAGUGAGGUGUGAUAUGAGUUAAAUGCUUAUAUCUCUAACAUUGAGCUGUGAUGGGGAGCGAAGUUUAGUAGCGAAGUUAGUGAUGUCACACUGCCGAGAAAAGCUUCUAGCGUUAAUUAUACUCUACCCGUACCGCAAACCGACACAGGUAGUCGAGGCGAGUAGCCUCAGGUGAGCGAGAGAACUCUCGUUAAGGAACUCGGCAAAAUGGCCCCGUAACUUCGGGAGAAGGGGCGCUGACUUAUGGUCAGCCGCAGUGAAUAGGCCCAAGCAACUGUUUAUCAAAAACACAGCUCUCUGCUAAAUCGUAAGAUGAUGUAUAGGGGGUGACGCCUGCCCGGUGCUGGAAGGUUAAGAGGAGUGCUUAGCGUAAGCGAAGGUAUGAAUUGAAGCCCCAGUAAACGGCGGCCGUAACUAUAACGGUCCUAAGGUAGCGAAAUUCCUUGUCGGGUAAGUUCCGACCCGCACGAAAGGCGUAAUGAUUUGGGCACUGUCUCAACGAGAGACUCGGUGAAAUUUUAGUACCUGUGAAGAUGCAGGUUACCCGCGACAGGACGGAAAGACCCCAUGGAGCUUUAC
rnacentral:rRNA from 1 species